UAAAAGAACUAAUUCCUAGACUCAAAUUACAUUAGAUUUUAAUAAAAUAAUUUAAUAAUUCUAAAAUAGCUAACUGUUUUAUUUUUGCAAUAUCGUGAGAUUUAUAUUCAAUGAUUCUCCAUCAACGAUUCAAUUUUCCGACAACCAAAAUCCAACUAUUCUUCUUCCAAAACAACAACCAGAAACCAACCAUUAAACCACCCUUGCUCUGCCGUUUUCUCCCAGUCUAGAUACACCCCAAAACCCCAAACCCCAUUUUCAUUCUUCUUUAACCAGACAACUUCAGCCACCCACCCAGCAGCAGCUGAAACAGCACUAAACAACAACUCCAAACUCACCGAAAAAAGCCACAAACUCCAUAAAAACCCACCAGAAAACCCCAUCAAAACCCCGUCCAAACCCCCCAUUUAUCGAGCUCCACCAGCUCACUACCGGCAAACGGAACCAGACCCACAACCACUCGAACAAGCUGAAACACCACCAGAAUCGGAACACCAAACAACAAUCCCGCAAGCUCCGAGCUCUAACACGCCAACAAUGGUGCCGACCCGACGGACCACCAUUUCUUCCUCAACGUUAGUAACUACGGUAAAUGAUAGCUCACUAUAUUUUUUCUAUCCUUCAUCGUUUUUGUUUUGUUUAUUCUGUGCAUUUCAGAUCUGGCCGGAGGGUUUCAAACUCCGGCCAUUGUUAUUUUCUUCUUCAUGUUAUCAAGUCACUGAUAUUUUGAAAUUCAUCCAAAGUCAAACUCCAGUAGCAGGUACACGAAGCUUCUUCCCAUUGGAGCUAUUCGAAUAAAGUUCGAAUCAUAUUGUUUAGCUACUAUUGUAUAUAUUAUCGAUGUUAGACAACUUUUAGGUCGUGUCUUACAUUAUUAUAAUUUUAUUUUAUUACUCAUGUAUAUUGCAUGUUAUUAUAUUUGUAUAUUAUUUUUAACUUCUUCUCAAUUUGAUAAAAUAAAUUCAGUUGGGAUCCAUAGUUGUGGAUUUCAAAGGAUGCCU